CUGAUCAUCGAUGGGAGAGAGGUGACUUAAUUGAUCAUGUCCUUGAAGUCAACGGGAAAAUUCAACAGGUCAUAUGGAAUGGUCGUCCUAUGUCACAGUCAGAGAUGGUGCGAUUUUUCAUAAACACUCUUCUACCUGAAUGGCAAGAUGUGUUGAAUCGCAUAUGGGAUGUCAACGGAGCUGCUUCCUAUAAGAAAAUUGUGAUGGAUUUUGUAAAUGAAUAUUACUGUAUUGUUUCAAGGGAAAAGAUUAAGAAAUUGAACAAAAGAG
rnacentral:lncRNA from 1 species